AACGUAGGACGCGAGCGUUAUCCGGAGUUACUGGGCGUAAAGCGCGGGCAGGCGGUCUGACAAGUCUGAUGUGAAAUCUCCGGGCUCAACCGGGAGAGGCCAUUGGAAACUGACAGGCUGGAGGGCAGUAGAGGUAGGUGGAAUUCCGGGUGUAGUGGUGAAAUGCGUAGAGAUCCGGAGGAACACCAGUGGCGAAGGCGACACGCUGGGCCGUACCUGACGCUAAAGCGCGACAGCAUGGGGAGCAAACGGG
rnacentral:rRNA from 1 species